GACGAACGCUGGCGGCGUGCUUAACACAUGCAAGUCGAACGGUGAAGCGCCUUCCUUUUUGGUGGGUGUGGAUGAGCGGCGAACGGGUGAGUAACACGUGAGUAACCUGCUCCCUUUUUCUGGAUAACCGCAUGAAAGUGUGGCUAAUACGGGAUAUUCUGGGUCUGUUGCAUGAUGGGUCUGGGACAGAUUUUGUUUCGGUGGGGGAUGGGUUCGCGGCGUAUCAGCUUGUUGGUGGGGUGAUGGCCUACCAAGGCGAUGAGGGGUAGCCGGCCUGAGAGGAUGGACGGCAACAGAGGUGAGAAGAGAUGCAGCCUACUACGGCGGGAGGCAGUAGGGGAUAUUAUGGCACAGGGGGAGGAAGCAUGAUGCAGCGACGCGGCGUGGGUGAUGGAGGCCGUCGGGUUGUGAUCCUCUUUCGGUGGUGAAGCAGGCCUGCCGCGUUUGUGGGUGGGUUGACGGUAGCUGGAUAAGAAGCGCCGGCUAACUACGUG
rnacentral:rRNA from 1 species